UCCUUGGAAUCAUUACCUCAUCUCGAAUUCCGCCUUGCAAUGCCUAAUUUUGAGAUUAUACCCUCUCAUCCUCGGAAUCUUGGAUGUUUCAAUGAGGUCUCUCAAUCUUUUCAACUCUAACGAGGCUAGGCCCAACCUCCUCAAUCUCUCCUCAUGACAAAGUCCCCUCCUUCCCCACAUCCGCCCAGUGAACCCUCUCUGGACUGCCCCCAAUCCCAGAAUCCCUUUCCUCAGGUGAAUGGCCCAAAUCUGUUCACUGUAUUCUAGCUGUGAUCUGACCCCUGCCUUCUGUUGUUUGAGCAGACCACUUUCCUCGGGGUGAGGGGCUAACCCACUGACCUGGAUUUUUGAAGUAACCCGGAUAAUUUAUUUUCUGUCGCCUUGUCAGAUUCCGCAAAAUUAAGCUGAAGCAGAGGAAGCUCCGGGAGCAGGUCAGCGCCAUGAUGGACAUCUCCAAGAUGCAGCUGCUCCUGCAAGACAUGAAUGCCAGGAUGAUGGAGUCCUACGCCGAGAUGGAGAACAACCUGGCAGCCUUGGUAACCAAGGUCGAUAGACUCUCCGCGGCCUUUGACGAGCUGCCCAGGCUGAUCUGUGACACUUUCAACGGGCAAAAGACUGGGUGAGGGCGACCCCCUUGGCAAUGACCUGCCAUAAACACUGGCUGGUACCUGGGCACCCAAUCAGGAGAGGGUAGGGGGGCCUAGAUGGUUUAGAGUCACUGGCGAACUCCAGGUUUCCUGUCACCCAUUCAUUCUGAGGCUAAUACGAACCUUCCAGAACGUUCUCAAAGGGGAAAUGUCUGAGGCUCUUGGCCACCCUGAGGAGAAACGUUUAUAUCAGAGACCGCUCACCCACAGCUCAAAAUGGUCGCCGUAGCGGCCGUGAAAAUUCCUCUGAAUUUCUGACCAAACCAGGGAUCCCGGCCGGGAACACUAAGGCUCAACCUUGUCAUUUGGAGGGAUGUUCCUUUCGUUCAUUCAGCUCUGCUUCCUGGAUUUUAAUGGCACCCCAUCCCCACCCUUUUCCCUCCCCCUCUCUCAAAAGCUUCGGUUCCUUGGUGGGGGAGGAGGCUGGUGGUGGGGGGAACGGAGGAUUGCAAUCCUCUAGCGCCCUACCCCACCCCAAGCACAUGCCAGAACCACCUCUCUGUCCAACUUCCAAUCGUGGUGUUUGUGCAACGCAAGCUCCCGCAUGUCAGCACCGUGACUGACCCACGUUCACCUGUAAUGAGGGUUGGCGAAUACUGGCCUCAAGCCAUCAGGGACAACUUCCCCAUCUCACUGCUCUUCAUCCAAAUAAUCGAGUUUUAUUCAUUUGUGGGGGGCAUUGCUGCCUGGGCCUACCAUUUAUUACCCCCGUCCCAAGUCUCCCCCUUGAGAAGGUGGGGGUGAGCUGCCAUCUUGAACCACUGCAGGCCUCAUGCAGUUGGUGGACCCACAAUGCCCUUAGGGAGGGAAUGCUGGGACUUUGACACUGAAGGAACGGUAGUACAUUUCCAAGUCAGGAUAGUGAUUGGCUGAGAGAGUGACUUGAAUCCACAAUCCAUUGGCUUUGAGUAUCAUCGUGCACCACAUGGCCAUUACUGGUCUCUGGCGGUGAAGAGGCUGUUCAACCUUGGGGUGCAUCAUCCCAUUUGGCGUGGGACCAAGAUGAACCGACUGAUAAAGAUUGAUUCGUACUGUUAGCUGCUGACCCUGACCUCUGCUCCUAACUCUGACCCUAUCCCUGGUCCCUGGCAAAACUAUGUCCAAACCCACUGUGAUGCAACACUGGGAUAGAGACGUAAUGCACUGUUUUGGCUGGUGUACAUAGGAAGGCAGUUCAGCACAGACACAGGCCAUUCAGCCCAUCGCUCAGUGCUGGUGUUUCUGCUCCACCUUUCUCUUCACCUGCCCCCAUUGCCAUCUCCUUUCCUCCUUUUUGCCCUUGUGGUGUUUAUCCAUCGUUUCCACUUCACUUCCCAUAAUAUCGACACAAUUCACCUUGAGCAAGUCCCUCAUUUCUCCUCUCCCCACUCCCUGUGGGAAUGAGAUCCACAUUCUAUUCCCCACCCCAAAUCUGUGUGGGAGUGAGUCCCACAUUCCCUCACCCCCCCCGACCCCCACACUCCCUGUGGGAGUGAGUCUCGCAUUCACCACCAUUGAUUGGGUGAAGACAUUUAUCUUGAAAGCCCCAUUGGAUGUAUUCGGGUCUGUCUUUUGUCGCUGCAGAUGCCAAGCCCCUCACCCUCCCAAAUUCUGGCCUCCCAUCCCUCACAACGGGAAACAUCCUCUCCAUGACUGACCUAUUAAACCCCCUGCACCCCUCCCCCCCACCCCAGAUUUAUAAAGGCCUGGGACGCUCUCCCCUCAGCCUCCUCUCUCUGAGAAAAGGGAGGGAGAACGUCUGCCCAUUCCCUCUUUCCUGUGAUUCGUGACCUCUGACCUCUGUUGUCCUUGACUAACACCUUCCCAUCGGCCUCUCUAUCCUCUCUCUAACGCCACGUGUCACCGGAAAAAGUGAAAGAUUGUUGUCUCUAUACUUGACCUGAUGGACUUGGAUUGGCCAUUUCUAAGAGUCAUCCACAUAAGCUGUGGGUUUCUGGAGUCACGUGUAAAUCAGACCGGGUAAGGAUGGCAGAUUUCUCCGAAAGGACAUUCGUGAACCAGAGUGUUCUUUCUGACAAUCGAAAAUAAUAACAGUCGCCAUCACAGAGACGAACUUUAUAUCCCAUUUGUUCACACUCAUUGACUUUACAGGCCACCAUCUGCAGUGCUCUCCCUUGUGUUUAUCAUUGCAUGUCUUGGCAUAAUCAAGACUUCACUGUUAUGUUACAAUCUGGAGAGGAUCCAAUUCAGUCACGGCCCAGGAUUUGUGAUGACUUUAUAGAUUUUGGAAGCCUUCCCAACCCCACAACCAAUCAGAAUCACGGAACUGUUGCUGGGCCAAUGGUUCUCUGAAUGAUCUUCUCACCGAGUGCUGUUCCCUGACCUUCUCCCUGUAACCUCCACACUUUCCAGGUACCCCUGCUAAUUCCCUAUGGAAUUAAAUUGGCCCAGAGUGUCCAGGGAUGUGCAGGUUGGGGUGGAUUGGCCGUGCUAAAUUAUGCAUAGUGCCCAGGGAUGUGCAGGUUAGGGUGGAUUGGCCAUGCUAAAUUACCCAUGGUGCCCAGUGAUGUAUAGGUUGGAUUAGCUCUGGGAAGGGUCGGGAUUGGGUUUGGGUGUGAUAUGUUUCAGAGGGGCGGUGUGGACUUGAUGGGCCGAAUGACCUGCUCCCACCCUGGAGGGAUUCUGUGAAAACUGGUCUUGGGAAUGCCCCUGAUGGGGAGAUUCGGAUUUCUGACCCAGCGAGAAGUUGCUGUUGUUGUAAUAUGGGACAACCUGCCUGAAAGGGCGUAGCUUCAAGAGAACUUUCACAUCGAGGGGGUGAGUGAGGGGAAAUACUGGAAGGCGAUAUAUCCUCCAGGGCCGGGGGUGGAGGGGGUCUAAUCAGAGAGAUCUUACAGAGACAGACUGAAUGCCCACUCCCACUGUGCUGCAAGAUGUUCCAACUCCAUGGUAGUUACCUCUCUUGAGCCUGUUGUUGUUAAUGACGAUGUCUUUGUUGUUAUUAUUAUAAAUGCUUUGGGCGCACGUUCCUGAUGUGCAAUUCUUUCUGUCAUAAUGCCGCGAUAUUUUUAAAUAAAAGAACACAGAAAAGAAA